rnacentral:rRNA from 1 species
UACGAAGGGGGCUAGCGUUGCUCGGAAUCACUGGGCGUAAAGCGCACGUAGGCGGGUUCUUAAGUCGGUGGUGAAAUCCUGGAGCUCAACUCCAGAACUGCCUCCGAUACUGAGAGCCUCGAGUCCGGGAGAGGUGAGUGGAACUGCGAGUGUAGAGGUGAAAUUCGUAGAUAUUCGCAAGAACACCAGUGGCGAAGGCGGCUCACUGGCCCGGUACUGACGCUGAGGCACGAAAGCGUGGGGAGCAAACAGG